AUGCACUCCUGGCAGUUUCCUAGACCCACUGCCACACGGACUUGGGCCUGUGAAGGAGCUGGAUGGGAUGAAGCUUGCAACAGCAUCUUCCUGAAAAGAGCUCCCCUCGCCCGCCUCCACGUCAGUUCAUCGUACUUGAGUGACGACUGCCAUCUCAACCAGCUGGACUGUGACAAAAGCCCAGGCGCUCAGUCUCGUCCGCUCCGCAGGUUCCUACCGAGCUGCCGUGCCUGGUCGUCUCUGUUCCCACCUCAGGCAAUGCCCCACUUCCUAUUUGUGGCCUCACUCCAAAGCAUAUUUAAUGUUCAAAAUGCCGUCCUCUGGAAUAAAAUUUCUUUUUCCUCUCUACUUACUAAGACCAGUAUUCUUUUUUCCUUUAGCUAG
rnacentral:lncRNA from 1 species